rnacentral:lncRNA from 1 species
CAGUCUCUUUUAGCAAAGCAACCUCCAACUGCUGCUGGAAGGCCUGUGGAUGCAUCACCAAGAGUCCCUGGAGGCUCUCCUCGAACACCAAACAGAUCCGUGUCAUCCAAUGUUGCCAGCGUGUCCCCCAUCCCUGCAGGAUCCAAAAAAAUUGAUCCCAACAUGAAAGCUGGAGCAACCAGCGAAGGGGUCCUGGCAAAUUUCUUCAACAGUCUGUUGAGUAAGAAGACUGGCUCUUGAUUGACUCAGAAGUCUACACUUUUUUCAGGUAAGACUAUUCCAAUCACUUUUAAAGAUACCAUGUUUUUCUGAAGAAGACUGGUCAGUUGUCAGAUUUCGCACACCAACCAACAGCUGUGUGGUGACGCCUGCGAUGUGCUGAGAAACUCACAGUCGCGCACUCCGUGACCCAUGAGCCACCAUCAAAUGGACCAGAACCAGUGGCCAAGAGGCUCCUUUAAUCAAGAGAAAGAAAGCACACCGCCUGAGGGCGACCGAUGCAGAGGUUGUGAACGUGGAGAGAGAACCGGCUUUGCAGUUGUUUAUACACAUAUAUAUAUCUAUAUAUAUGUAUGUAUAUAUAUGGCUCUGCCUUAAUAUACUCCUUUUUGUUCAUGACUUUCAACUGUAAUCAGUUAAUAAAGUAUUUAUUCUCUGC